rnacentral:misc_RNA from 1 species
ACACCUCAACUCCCAUGGUUUGCCAUGAUGAGCUUGGACUUUGGGGGUCUUGCUGGCCUAUGGUCAGCUCCUCUUAAACGAAUCAGCUUGCCAGUGUUUGGUGGCAUCGCAGGUGUGAUAACUAUCUACGCUUGUGGUUUUCCAUCAGGUAACCUUCAGUGAUGGAGGUUCGCUGGGGCUCAUAAAGGUCUCUCCUCAGCGAGGACAGCUUUUUGAAC